GACGAACGCUGGCGGCGUGCCUAAUACAUGCAAGUCGAACGCUGAAGAGAGGCGUUUGCUCUUCUUGCAUGAGUCGCGAACGGGUGUGUAACGCGUAGGUAACCUGCCUUGUAGCGGGGGAUAUCUAUUGGAAACGAUAGCUAAUACCGCAUAACAAUGGAUUACACAUGUCAUUUAUUUGAAAGGGGCAAUUGCUGCACUACAAGAUGGACUUGCGUUGUAUUGGCUAGUAGGUGAGGUACUGGCGCAUCUAGGCGGCGCUACCUAGACGACCUGAGAGGAGGGGCGGCCGGACUGGGAGGGAGACACGGCCCAGACUCCUACGGGAGGCGGCAGUAGGGAUUCUGCAGCAAUGGGGGCAACCCUGACCGAGAAGCGCCGAGGGAGGAAAGAAGAUUUUCGGAUCGUGAAGCUCGGUUGUAGGUCAGGAACGGGUGUGAGAGUGGAAAGUUCACUCUGUGACGGUAGCGUGCCAGAAAGGGACGGCUAACUACGUG
rnacentral:rRNA from 1 species